UGUUAAUAAUUUAUAUAAAAUAUUUUGAUGAAUAUUUAUAUAAUAUUAACAUAAUUCAUAUUACUAUUUUUUUUAGUAUAUGAAAUUUUACUUUGAGAAAAUUAGAGUGCUUAAAGCAGGCAUAUGCCUUGAAUACUCCAGCAUGGAAUAAUAUUAAAGAUUUUUAUCUUUCUUAUUGGUUCUAAGAUAAGAAUAAUGAUUAAUAGGGACAGUUGGGGGCAUUUGUAUUUAACAGUCAGAGGUGAAAUUCUUAGAUUUGUUAAAGACAGACUAAUGCGAAAGCAUUUGCCAAGGAUGUUUUCAUUAAUCAAGAACGAAAGUUAGGGGAUCGAAGACGAUCAGAUACCGUCGUAGUCUUAACCAUAAACUAUGCCAACUAGAGAUUGGAGGUUGUU
rnacentral:rRNA from 1 species